AUACGGAGGGUGCAAGCGUUAUCCGGAUUCAUUGGGUUUAAAGGGUGCGCAGGCGGAAUGAUAAGUCAGUGGUGAAAUCCUACAGCUUAACUGUAGAACUGCCAUUGAUACUGUCAUUCUUGAGUACACUUGAAGUGGGCGGAAUGUAUCAUGUAGCGGUGAAGUGCAUAGAUAUGAUACAGAACUCCGAUAGCGAAGGCAGCUCACUAAAUUGUAACUGACGCUCAGGCACGAAAGCGUGGGGAGCAAACAGGAUUAGAAACCCCGGUAGUCC
rnacentral:rRNA from 1 species